AUACGGGGGGUGCAAGCGUUAUUCGAAUUUAUUGGGCGUAAAGAGCGCGUAGGCGGCUUGGUAAGUCAGAUGUGAAAGCCCGGGGCUCAACCCCGGAAGUGCAUUUGAAACUAUCAGGCUUGAGUAUGGGAGAGGGAAGUGGAAUUCCUGGUGUAGAGGUGAAAUUCGUAGAUAUCAGGAGGAACACCGGUGGCGAAGGCGACUUCCUGGACCAAUACUGACGCUGAGGCGCGAAGGCGUGGGGAGCAAACAGGAUUAGAAACCCGAGUAGUCC
rnacentral:rRNA from 1 species